GCUCUCUGGCUUGUAACUGACGCUGAGGCUCGAAAGCGUGGGGAGCAAACAGGAUUAGAUACCCUGGUAGUCCACGCUGUAAACGAUGAGUGCUAGGUGUUAGACCCUUUCCGGGGUUUAGUGCCGUAGCUAACGCAUUAAGCACUCCGCCUGGGGAGUACGACCGCAAGGUUGAAACUCAAAGGAAUUGACGGGGGCCCGCAC
rnacentral:rRNA from 1 species